AGCCAAAGCUCUUUAAAGAUUUGCUGAGGCAAUCUAUUCUCGAGCACCGCAGCUCGUGACUAGUGAGCUUUCGGAGCUCUUGGAAGAUUUCUGCCUUGAGCACAGGGAACGCUGCAGAGCAGCAGUGACCCCGAGCUCUGUGAGGAGCCCUGUGGCACACCGCCACGUGCAGAGAGUGCAGAGAGCACUGCCUAGCACUGCCCGCGCUGGAGCCCUGAGGGGGAGUGUGGAGGUCCGAGCACAGAAAAGCUGUCCCGGUCAGACACCUGAAUCCGGAGCUCUGAGGGGACCCCCGCAGUGUCCUGAGUGCCGACAGAAGGUACGUUGGAACUCGACAGAGGAUCCUGCUUUCGCGACAUCGAGGUGGAACUAUAAACCCUUGGAAACAGAGGCCAAGUCUCUCAAAACCAAGUCUCUCAGAGCACUUUAACUUUUGGACACAAGUGCUGUAACCUGUAACAGAUAUCAAUCUCCCGAACAAAAUCUGAGAUUGUGAAAGGGCAGCAUCCCCAUAUUCAAAGUAUGAAGGAAACACACAGAAGCAUGGCUGACAUCACCUGCUUGAACAGUAACCUCAGCAGUCUGAGCCAAUUCCCACAUCACCUACAGGUACCCUUUC